rnacentral:rRNA from 1 species
UACGUAGGGCGCAAGCGUUGUCCGGAAUUAUUGGGCGUAAAGAGCUCGUAGGCGGUUUGUCGCGUCUGCUGUGAAAACCUAAGGCUCAACCUCGGGCCUGCAGUCGAUACGGGCAGACUAGAGUAUGGCAGGGGAGACUGGAAUUCCUGGUGUAGCGGUGAAAUGCGCAGAUAUCAGGAGGAACACCGGUGGCGAAGGCGGGUCUCUGGGCCAUAACUGACGCUGAGGAGCGAAAGCGUGGGGAGCGAACAGG